rnacentral:rRNA from 1 species
GACGAACGCUGGCGGCGUGCUUAACACAUGCAAGUCGAACGGAAAGGCCCUGCUUUUGUGGGGUGCUCGAGUGGCGAACGGGUGAGUAACACGUGAGUAACCUUCCCUUGACUUUGGGAUAACUUCGGGAAACUGGGGCUAAUACCGGAUAGGAGCUCCUGCUGCAUGGUGGGGGUUGGAAAGUUUCGGCGGUUGGGGAUGGACUCGCGGCUUAUCAGCUUGUUGGUGGGGUAGUGGCUUACCAAGGCUUUGACGGGUAGCCGGCCUGAGAGGGUGACCGGCCACAUUGGGACUGAGAUACGGCCCAGACUCCUACGGGAGGCAGCAGUGGGGAAUAUUGCACAAUGGGCGGAAGCCUGAUGCAGCAACGCCGCGUGCGGGAUGACGGCCUUCGGGUUGUAAACCGCUUUCGCCUGUGACGAAGCGUGAGUGACGGUAAUGGGUAAAGAAGCACCGGCUAACUACGUG